rnacentral:rRNA from 1 species
AUUGAACGCUGGCGGCAGGCCUAACACAUGCAAGUCGAGCGGAGCGGCGGACGGGUGAGUAAUGCCUAGGAAUCUGCCUGGUAGUGGGGGAUAACGUCCGGAAACGGGCGCUAAUACAGCAUACUAUCACAUGAGCCUAGGUAGGUUUAGCUAGUUGGUGGGGUAAAGGCCUACCAACGCGACGAUCCGUAACUGGUCUGAGAGGAUGAUCAGUCACACUGGAAAUGAGACACGGUCCAGACUCCUACGGGAGGCAGCAGUGGGGAAUAUUGAACAAUGGGCGAAAGCCUGAUGCAGCCAUGCCGCGUGUGUGAAGAAGGUCUUCGGAUUGUAAAGCACUUUAAGUUGGGAGGCGUUACUAACAGAAUAAGCACCGGCUAACUUCGUGCCAGCAGACGCGGUAAUUC